AAGAAGCCACUGUGAUCCAAUGGACAACCUGACUCAGGCCACUUCCUAGGGCUUCAACCCAAUGGAAAACUACGUUCUUCCUCUCUUACUCUAUGACCUGGAAAGCUUGAAAGAAGCAAGAAAAGUCAAGAGCCUGUGAGAGGCUGAGCUAUGCAACCGACCGUCUUGGCCCAAACGCAACUCGCUUGCUAAGAACACAAGCUAUUUCUAUUGGGUCUUCCUAAGAGUGAGCUGCUUACAAGCAGAACUGGUAGAAGAUUUUACCACUCACAGGAUGACUACAGGAAGUCCAGAGAAAAGAGAUUUAUUGAUUCCCUACUGCUGUGGUAAUGGAAGAAGCCAAGCCAAAGACCCAGUUGUUCCACACAGCUCACUCAAUAGUUUCCCCCUCGGACACAGACUGAGGCAGCAACGUUGGUUUCUGGUUACCGAUGAGCCUGUGUUUCCUCUUCCUUUCUCAUGCCCCCAGCUAACUUGGGAAUCCUACCCAGGGCCUUACCCCAGGGAGCCCCUGCUUGUUGAGGCACUGGACUCCGAGUCUAGAAGUCUGAGCCCUGAAGACCCACUCACCCGAUUCCUGUUGGAUCUUUGACAAGAAUACCAGCCUUUCUCAGGACAGGAAAUCAACGUCAUGAGAGCAAAGAACAAAGGAGGCACUGGAUGGAAGUGAGCUUUGAGUAUGCACAGUUUUACUGUCCUGCAUUUUGAUUUGAGAGGACAUACAUUCAACUUUGUCUUCCUACAACAAAAAUCACCUGAAGGGGGUCGUAUCUGUCAAGGUGCUGUCAAAAGAUAAAAAUCGCUCCCACAUUUUCACAAGGGAAGUAUAAUAUAAAGAAACGUAAUAUACUGCUAACUAUAAAAGGGGUUUAACUAUGAAAAAAGGCUUGAAAAGGACCCUAAAGCAGCAGCAUGUACAAAAGAGUAGCUAUCAUCUCUAGGCUAAGGGAGAGUGGAUAAAGGGACCGAGGAUUAGGAGAGAAGCCCCCUAUUGCCACCCAAGGCUGAGACUCAGACCUCAUCAGAGAGGACUCAGCUACCACAGGAACUUGCAAGCUGCUGGUGUUGAAGAAACUUUCUGGAA